rnacentral:rRNA from 1 species
AUUAAAUAGCUGCAGUAUCAAUGACUGUACAAAGGUAGCAUAAUCAUUUGCCUAAUAAUUAUAGGCUAGUAUGAAAGAUUUAAUGAAGAAAAAACUGUCUCAAAUUAAUUUAAUAAAUUUUUUUUUUAAGUUAAAAAACUUAAAUAUAUCUAAAAGACGAGAAGACCCUUUAGAAUUUCAUAUUUAAUUGGGGAGAUUGUAAAAUUAAACUAACUUUUACAUAAACAAACAAAAAUUAUUGAAUUAAUUAUAUUAUAUUUAAAAUCUAAAUAAAUUACCUAAGGGAUAACAGCAUAA